GGGCGGAGGAAAGACGGCAAAGGAUUCAGGGCUGAAACCAACGCACUUGACCGCGCUUGGGGAGGGAGGUAAAUCAGUGGCCGCCCGGAAGGAACUCAGAAAAAGGAAAAAUAAAAGAGGGAAAGGAGAGUUCUCCAGAUCGUUGCCCCCUGCCCAACUUACUCAGAGGCUGUGUGGGUGGGAGAGCGAGACUUCCAGACCCCUGCCUCCCCCACCCUCCCUGGCUCCCUCCGGGCCUAAGGAGCCGCCCGAGACCUCACUUACCCUCGGCGCCUGGCGGGUGCUUUGGCCUCGGGCCGCCUCCGCCUCUCCUGCUCCCAAAGGCCCACGGACGGGCGCGGGAGCCCCGCGCGGGAGAAAAGGGCCGGCUUGUGCGCGAAGAGAGGCAAGGGGCUCCGCCACCGUCAGAACCCGCGACUCCGCUCUGGGUAAAUAGGAAACCCGGUGGAGGGAGGGGGGGGAGGAGCGGCGGCACCGCAACUUCCCUCCCCGCCUUGAGCGCCGCCGGCCGGGCCCGGGCCUAGGCCUCCCUGGCCGCCGCCGCCAGAGCAGGUAUCGGAGCCCGCUACGUGCCCCCGCUAGGCCGCCGCCGCCUCCUGCGCCGCCGCUUCCGCCGGUGAAUGGUCAGCGCUGGAGUUUGAACAGGGCCCUGAACCAUCUCAACGCCAUUUGCGCUCCCGGCCCCCACCUCCUUCCUCCAACAGCCGCUCGCUCCGUCACUCCGCUUCCCACAGGCUCCGCGCGGCCGUCCGACCCCGCAGCCAAUCGCGCGGCCGCUUACUCAAACCGCCGCGCAGGCGCUGCUCCCCGCAUGCUCCGGCGCCCGCCAUUGGCCCGGCCGCGGCGCCCGACGGGAAUUGUAGUCCAGGGACUCGCCUGUGUCUAGGGACGGUGGGUUGUGCAGCUGUGCCAGGCCUGCUGGGGCCAAGGCCCGGGAGCAGAGAAGCGCGGAGUUGGCGGCUCGGAGCCGCCCUCUACCAGGCCUGGCCAGUGCUGGCUCGACGCAGGUAACGACUGGAAGCCUGGGGCACUGGACACCUAACGCCGCGAGUGAUGUCGGCUCCGGCUCUUGAAUGUUCCCGCGACCCCUCCGCCCAUACUUUCGUAGUUCUCCGGUGUGCCCUGCACGCGUUAAGAGAGACCCCGAGAAUACUGGAUGGUAUUGUCGUUAACUUUGUUGAAUGUGAUAACGCUAAUGUGGUUAUGUAAGAAUUUAAAAAAAAAAACGAAAGUUUUGACGGG